GUGGUUGUUCAGUUAAAAGUGAAACGGUGUACAAUUCUCCAUGACGCCACGGAGAAUGAUACUGGUGCUCACCGACAGGAAUUAACAAGUUAUUGGGAUCCCUGUGCGAUGGUUCCAUACAAA